GUCAUGUGGCCUAGUGGUCAUGGCAUCUGCCCGGUAAGCGGAAGGUCGUGGGUUCGAUUCCCAUCCAUUGACA
rnacentral:tRNA from 1 species